UACGUAGGGGGCGAGCGUUGUUCGGAAUUACUGGGCGUAAAGGGCGCGUAGGCGGCGACUCAAGUUAGAUGUGAAAGUCCUGGGCUUAACCUGGGGACUGCAUUUGAUACUGGGUUGCUUGAAUUCGGGAGAGGAUAGCGGAAUUCCCAGUGUAGAGGUGAAAUUCGUAGAUAUUGGGAAGAACACCGGUGGCGAAGGCGGCUAUCUGGACCGACAUUGACGCUGAGGCGCGAAAGCGUGGGGAGCAAACAGG
rnacentral:rRNA from 1 species